ensembl:misc_RNA Metazoa_SRP Metazoan signal recognition particle RNA
GCCUGGCAUGGUGGUGCACACCUGUAGUCCCAGCUACUUGGGAGGCUGAGGUAGGAGGAUUGCUUGAGUCCAGGAGGUCGAGACUGCAGUGAGCUGUGAUCUGGCCACUGCACUCCAGCCUGGGCAACAGAGCAAGACCCUGUCUCAA